CAUUCAUGGUAUCCUCAGCACUCUUCUCCAGCACCACAUCUCAAAUGAGUUUUUAUUCUUACCGCUUUAUUCACUCUCCAGCUCUCACAUCUGUACAUGGUAAUAAGGAAUACAGUAGCCUGGAUUAUUCUGACAUCAGUGAUCAGUCGUAUGUCUUUACUCUUUAGAAACGUGUCUAGUUCUUUCAUAGCUGUCCUUGCAAUUCCUAGUUUUGGUGGGAUUUCUUGACUGCAGUUUCUAUUCCAAUCAAAAUUUGGUCCAAGGUAUGGGAACUCUUUAACUACAGUGGGACCUUGGUAUCCGCGGGGGUCCAAUCCAGACCAUCCUCCUUGCAGAUACCAAAAUCCACAGGACCUCAAGUCCUGUUGUCCCCAAUAGUUGUGUGUGCAUACAGCCACACCACCAUUAGGGGCAACCCUCGUUGUCCCUAGUGGCAGCACAUGCAUGCGGUCAUGCCACCCUUAGGGACAACGAGAUUUCAGGUGAAGUCCUAUUGUUCCUAAUGGCGGCUCAGCCACAUGCACAUACCACCGUUGGGGACAACUGGGGCUUGCCAGCUACAGACACUUAAAUCCAUAGAGGGCAAAUACAUGGAUAGCAAGGCCCCACUGUAUUUUGAUUUCCUCAUUGUCUCAGUUGAAGUUAUGUAUAUCAUGUACAACCAUUAUUUAUGUUUUCUUUAUGUAAGCAGUGGCAUCAUUAGGGGGAGCAGGGGUGCGGACCCAGAAGAGGGGUGACACGUGGCUGAGCAGACACAACCCAUACACCAUUCUACUCACAAGUAGAGCAGCACGCAGCAGAGAGGUGAGGCGGUGUGCCCUUUUGGCUUGGCCCCCUGGAAGCCUCCCCCCCACACCAGCUUAUGCUAUUGGCAGUAAGGCUACCUUUGCAGUUUCUUUUUUGACCUUCCUUAGUAGUGAUGUUUUCUGUUAGUAGUAUGGUUUUGUCCACAUAUCUUGGCAUUCGUUCCUCUUCACUCCUCCUCCUGAGUCUAAGCCUGCUCUUCGUAUGAUAUUUUCUUUGUACAAUACAGUGAUAGAGAGCGCCCUUGCCUGAUCCCCUUGCCAAUUGGAAACCAUUCUUUUCCUCCAUAUUCUGUUCCAAUGCACAAAAUGUUGUCAUUAUAUGGAACCUGAGAGUUGACGCAUAAUUGUAAGUAAUCCACAUAAAAUAUAUCAGAUAUCCCCAGGUGUUUCUGGAGAUUUGGGAUAAUAAAGCAUGAUUUUUAAAAAGUGCAGUAACAGAAAGUGAUAGAAAGGUGACAGUCUCCACAACAACACCAUCAUGGAGAAAUGUUGCCCCACAGACAUAUGAAAACACAACAAUCCUGCUCCCCCAAAUCUCCCGAUCCCUUUGUUAUCCCCAAAUACCUCAGUUUUCUUUGACAGUCCAUCUCUUAAUGGUGUCAUUAAGUGAUAUGAUAUCACUUACUGUUGCCAUUUUGGGAGGGACUGCAAUGGAAAAUUGGUAUUUGGGCUUGCUAGGUACGUAUACAGGACCAGUGGGUGGGUGAAUUGAGCUGGAUGAAUCCAGCCUGUCUCUGUCCUAAGGAAUAACAUGGGAGUUAAAAGGGCUCAAAUAAAAGACCUUUUCUGAAAUAAAGCUUUCUGGAAUGUGCCUUAGCCAUGUUGGCUGGAAGUUAUAGUCAAAAAGUAACUUUCCCAAGCUCAGUAAAGAAAAGAUGGAGAGGGAAUCUAAAAGUCAGCCAGGAACCCAGUGUUGAGAUUUUCAGUCCUGAAACUAAAAUAUCUGGUCCAAAAUUCUGUCAACAUUGCCAAUGGUACUAAAGUGUUGAUUUCCUUUUGUGAGUGUCCUUGGGUCCCAUGCUGAGAGAAAGGCGGUAUAUUAAAUCAAAUUAAAUAAUAGAGUUUGUUGGCAGCUUCAGGUUUUGGCAGAGAUGGACAUAGACAUCAUGGAACCUACAGGGGCAUCCAAAGCAGACACAGCUGAUAAAGGUUUCUUAAAAUUUUGUAUUUCAGUUACCAGAGUGGACCAAAAAUCUCUUUUAUCUCUAAUUUAGUUUAUCCCCAAACAGGUAGAUACUACACUCAGUCACAUCCUAGGUUACUAUAGAUUGCCUGGUGUGGAAAAAUGUGCUUCUAAAUAUAUUGAAUGAAACCUGGGGAGUGUGAUAAAUGAUUGAAAAACGGUUUACAAAAGCGAUUUAUCUCCAAGCUGCCAGAAGGUGAACUUCCCCGUUUCAAGGCCAAAGUCCUUUGUUGCAGAACAGCUUAUUUAACACGAAGCAGGAACAAUCUGUAACUUCUUUGGCUGUUUGGAUGAAAUGUAAACUUCAGCAAAACGGAAUGCCAGGAAUAUUUGCUGUGGCUGAAGUGGUGCUCCUGCAAAAUAUGGUUUGCUAUACACUUCUUUUAAGGAGUGUUAUCACUUGAUUUCGUACAUUUCAGUGUAUUUUUAUCCCUCCUUUUACCCCUAGUAGACCCUUUUAACAGGCAAAUGUUGUCACUUGAAGGACUGUGGCAUGUUUUCCCCGUCCCAAUCCCCUGCCCUGCAAAUAGGAUCAAAUAAGCCCAGAGCUUGCUAUACAACCUACAAUUUAUCUGCUAUACAAGUGUUGAAACAGGUCAGAAGGCUUGGUUAGUCUGAAAGUACUAUAUUUCUUAUAAUUCCCAUAUCAGGAAAGUGUUUUCAGAAUGGUUUGUCGUAAGAAAAAAAAGGCAAGCCAUGAUAGAAAUUGGGGGGGUGGACCCAGAGGGAUAGCUUUUUUUAAAAUGAUCAUUUUGCCCUUCAAUCUCCUCUUGGAAGUGUGGGGACAUUUUGAUACAUUUUUGCAGGAGACUGUGGUGGGGAUGGAGAUGGUCCAAGGUCUCCUGGGGGACCCUUAUAUCCUAGCAGUUGUCCACCUUCGUAGAGGUCGAUAAAAUUAUGCAUGAGGCUGAGAAAAUAGAGAGGAAGAUUUUCUAUUAUUUUUUAAAGUCUUUUUAAUUGAUUUUUCUUUAUUUAAAGAGACACAAACAAACCAAAAUAAAAAGGGGAACUACAGAAUAUCAGACCAUGGUGAGACCUUUGUGUCAAUGUUGUCGGUUUUCAGUUGUCAUUAAGUCAGGUCUUGUGGUGAUGGUUGUGUGCCUUCAAGAUGUUUCGGCAAACCUAUCCUGGGGUUUUCUUGGCAAGAUUUGUUCAGAGGAUGUUGGCCAUUGCCUUCCCCUGAGGUUGAGAGCACCAUGCAGGCCCUGUAAGUCAGGUUUCCAGCUGAGGAUUCCAUUAAGGGAGUAGUCCUCCAACGAACUGUGGUUUUGCACAAGGCCCAUGGCUUUCAGCAAAUUCCUCUCUAAAAGGCUGCUUGGGAUCUGAAUGCAUUUUCAAGGUGAUUGUUUUUUAUUCUCAAAUGAUAUUAAAGAAAACCAUGUAUCCCCAAAAGCUGCUUCAUCUCCUACAGCUCUGUUGACAUAAAUAAAUCUCACUAUUAAUGGGAAGACACCUCAAUCUCAAAAUCCAUAACUUUGACCCCAAAAACUGCCCUCGACUUAUACAUGAGGUCAACUUAUAGUCAAGUAUAUAUGGCAUUUCUGCAGUACAGAUACAGUCCUUGUUCUUUUCCUCCAGGUAGAAGAAGGAUCUUCCUCUGCAGAAGGUGCUCCUUUGUUUGGGGUCCUUUGAUUCAACCUGUUCUGGGUUUCUCCCCCUAUGAGAUCAAAAUGAUGGAAUCUCACCAGGUUUUUCUGGUUGGACUAGUUCCACUCCCAUACCACAAAGGAAAGGAAAGCCAGUAGUAACAACCAGCUGUCUUGUUAAUGAAAGCAGUUAUUACUCAUUUCACAGUUGUUAACAUUAAUGGUUUAGAGAAGGAACAGCCCAAGAAUCUAACUGUGGCUUUUAACAAGUUUGAAUCUGCGUUCACUGCUUUGAACUUUUGCCAGCUAGAAACAUGAGGGGAAAACAGGAUAUGGUUUCUGCUGAUUCUGCAGUUCCUGUGAGAACAAGUGAUGGGAAUGGAAAUGAAACAUUUUUAUCACAAAGCAUCAGCUUUGUCUGCAAGGAAGUCAAUAGCAGUGUUUAAAAGUUACAGAAAAAGGGAAAAAAAGUGGAAGAUGGGGUGGCAGGGCAGGAGAUGGAUGAAGGAAUCAAGCAGCUAAUGUGAAUUUGAAGAAAUGGACUGAUAUUCAUGAAAAUUCAAGCUAAAAUAAAUCAUUUUCAGAGGUUUUCCUGAAAGAUCUGCAUCAAUCCGCAUCUUCGGCAAUGUGAAUAAGCUUCCAAAUUGAUCAUUCAAGGGAAUGGAGGCGGUUCCAUUUUAUCCCAAAAUGGUGGCAUGUGAGAAUAACAAAUGGGUCACAAUGACUUGAAGAGAUUCACAAACCAAAAACAACAUGGGAAUAACAAAGCCAAUGUGCAUCAAUGCAGCAAUCCACAUUUCCUUGGGACAAAAAAAGGAGUGUGAAUGAUCCCCAGAAUUCAUCAUUACUUGCAGUGCCAUUUGGAUCCCCACUUUUCUUUUUGCAAAGUCCUGUUCUUACUCUCUGGUUUUGGUAGCUGUCCAGGAAAUUUAUUAUUAUUAUUUUUUUGCUGGUAGUGUCCAUGUCUGGCAGCUUAUACUGAAAAAUAGCUAGCUGGUGUGUUUUCUAAUUAUCUUCUACUCCUUUUCUCUCCUUUAAAUGCUUCAGCAAAGGUCAUUGUAGGAAAUGUGCUGACUGGAAGAUA